GUGAGGAAUAUUGCGCAAUGGAGGCAACUCUGACGCAGCCAUGCAGCGUGAGUGAUGAAGGCCCUAGGGUUGUAAAGCUCUUUUACCCGGGAUGAUAAUGACAGUACCGGGAGAAUAAGCUCCGGCUAACUUCGUGCCAGCAGCCGCGGCAAUACGAGGGGAGCUAGCGUUGUUCGGAAUUACUGGGCGUAAAGCGCGCGUAGGCGGUUUUUUAAGUUCGAGGUGAAAGCCCGGGGCUCAACCCCGGAAUUGCAUUUGAAACUGGAAAACUAGAAUCUUGGAGAGGUCAGUGGAAUUCCGAGUGUAGAGGUGAAAUUCGUAGAUAUUCGGAAGAACACCAGUGGCGAAGGCGACUGACUGGACAAGUAUUGACGCUGAGGUGCGAAAGCGUGGGGAGCAAACAGGAUUAGAUACCCGGGUAGUCC
rnacentral:rRNA from 1 species